UGAACGCUGGCGGUAUGCUUUACACAUGCAAGUCGUACGGGAGUUUUUAACUCAAGUGGCGGACGGGUGAGUAACACGUAAGAAUUUGCCUUUAGGAGGGGGACAACAACUGGAAACGGCUGCUAAUACCCCAUAUGCUUUCGAGUGAAAUGGAUUUUUCCGCCUAAAGAGAAGCUUGCGGCUGAUUAGCUUGUUGGUGAGGUAAUGGCUCACCAAGGCGACGACGGGUAGCCGGCCUGAGAGGGCGACCGGCCACACUGGGACUGAGACACGGCCCAGACUCCUACGGGAGGCAGCAGUGGGGAAUAUUGGGCAAUGGGCGGAAGCCUGACCCAGCGACGCCGCGUGCGGGAUGAAGGCCUCGGUUGUAACCGCUUCAGCAGGAAGAAGCGAAAGUGACGGUACCUG
rnacentral:rRNA from 1 species